UACAGAGGUGGCAAGCGUUGUUCGGAAUUACUGGGCGUAAAGGGCUCGUAGGCGGCCAACUAAGUCGGACGUGAAAUCCCUCAGCUUAACCUGGGAACUGCGUCUGAUACUGGAAGGCUUGAGGAUGGGAGAGGGAUGUAGAAUUCCAGGUGUAGCGGUGAAAUGCGUAGAUAUCUGGAGGAAUACCGGUGGCGAAGGCGGCAUCCUGGACCGGUAUUGACGCUGAGGCGCGAAAGCCAGGGGAGCAAACGGG
rnacentral:rRNA from 1 species